GUCUUUACAAAAGUGGCCUAAUGGUUAGAGUGUCUGCCUCGGAUUUGGGAGACCGCGGGUUCGAUCCCCGGUUGAGUCU